rnacentral:rRNA from 1 species
GUGGGGAAUUUUGGACAAUGGGGGCAACCCUGAUCCAGCAAUGCCGCGUGCAGGAAGAAGGCCUUCGGGUUGUAAACUGCUUUUGUACGGAACGAAACGGUCUGGGUUAAUACCCUGGGCUAAUGACGGUACCGUAAGAAUAAGCACCGGCUAACUACGUGCCAGCAGCCGCGGUAAUACGUAGGGUGCGAGCGUUAAUCGGAAUUACUGGGCGUAAAGCGUGCGCAGGCGGUUUUGUAAGAUAGGCGUGAAAUCCCCGGGCUCAACCUGGGAAUGGCGCUUGUGACUGCAAAGCUGGAGUGCGGCAGAGGGGGAUGGAAUUCCGCGUGUAGCAGUGAAAUGCGUAGAUAUGCGGAGGAACACCGAUGGCGAAGGCAAUCCCCUGGGCCUGCACUGACGCUCAUGCACGAAAGCGUGGGGAGCAAACAGGAUUAGAAACCCUGGUAGUCC